rnacentral:rRNA from 1 species
UGUGUAGGCGGUUGUUUAAGUUUGGUGUGAAAUCUCCCGGCUUAACUGGGAGGGUGCGCCGAAUACUGAAUGACUAGAGUGCGGGAGAGGAGAGUGGAAUUCCUGGUGUAGCGGUGAAAUGCGUAGAUAUCAGGAGGAACACCGGCGGUGUAGACGGCUCUCUGGACCGUAACUGACGCUGGGACACGAAAGCGUGGGUAGCAAACAGGAUUAGAUACCCUGGUAGUCCACGCCCUAAACGAUGCAUAUUUGGUGUGGGCAGUUCAUUCUGUCCGUGCCGGAGCUAACGCGUUAAAUAUGCCGCCUGGGGAGUACAGUCGCAAGGCUGAA